rnacentral:misc_RNA from 1 species
CAUGGGAACCGAUUUCCCGUGAAAACGAACACAACCGCGUUCUUGAAAUAACUGAUUUCGAUUCAAUUCGUGAAAAGGCAUUGCUUGGAGCUCUCUGUUGUCGUUUUGCGCCAUUAGUCGCUCAGGCUUCGGUUGCAUCGCCAAACAAAUGCAAACAAGGCACAGACUGUCUUCCUUCUUCAAUUAUUGUCUCUCUCUUCAUUAUCUUCAUUAUGUUAUUGGCGCCAUUGCUGACGACGUCAAACGUCGUUGGUUCAGACGCGGAGACAAAACCAUAAAAUGAUUGGUCUUCGUCAUCGUUUAUGUUAAAACGAGUAGAUAAUCUGCCGUUUUAUGUCUGCGGAAAAACGCGGCCCCUAAUCCACCAAGCCAUCAAAUUUUCAACUCCAAACGGGUAGUCAGAGUCGUCGAGUCCGUUCCAUACUAUCUCUCUCUCGAGUCUCGAAAACGAGAAGUGAGAUGAAAUAUGACAGAAGGACUCCGCCAUCUAACCUUCAUCGUGGCGCUUCUGAUCCUCGUCGGAGGUCCUCGUAGAAGCUCCGGAGAUGGAGGAGAGUUCAGCGGAGACUACUCGAAGCUAUCGGGGAUAAUAAUUCCUGGUUUCGCGUCAACUCAGCUUAGAGCUUGGUCUUUCCUCGACUGCCCUUAUUCUCCUCUUGAUUUUAACCCUCUUGACCUCGUCUGGCUCGACAGCACGAAACUUCUUUCUGCUGUAAAUUGUUGGCUCAAGUGUAUGCUACUUGAUCCUUACAAUCAAACAGACCAUCCUGAAUGCAAGUCGCGGCCUGAUAGCGGUCUUUCUGCGAUUACAGAACUUGAUCCUGGUUAUAUAACAGGUCCUCUUUCUUCAGUAUGGAAAGAAUGGAUUAAGUGGUGCAUUGAAUUUGGUAUUGAGGCCAAUGCAAUUAUUGCCGUUCCAUAUGAUUGGAGAUUGGCGCCAUCAAUGCUGGAGGAGCGAGACCUUUAUUUUCACAGGCUCAAAUUGACAUUUGAAACUGCACAUAAACUUCGUGGAGGACCCUCAAUUGUAUUUGCCCAUUCUUUGGGUAACUAUGUCUUCCGCUACUUUCUGGAAUGGUUAAAGCUAGAAAUUGCUCCAAAGCAUUACAGCCAAUGGCUGGACGAUCACAUUCAUGCCUAUUUUGCAGUUGGAGCUCCUCUUCUUGGUGCAACUGAGACGGUCAAAGCAACACUUUUUGGAAACACAUUUGGUCUUCCUGUUUCUGAGGGUACAGCUCGAUUGAUGUUCAAUUCUUUUGCCUCCUCAUUAUGGAUGCUGCCAUUUUCAAAGUAUUGUACAGCCGAUAAUCCAUACUGGAAACAUUUCUCUGGGGCAUCCAGGAAAAGUCAUCAGACUUAUCAAUGUGAAGAGCAUGAAUUUCACUUAAAUUACUCUGGAUGGCCAACAAAUAUUGUCAAUAUUGAAAUCCCUUCUAUACGUGCAUUUGAUGCCUAUCCACCAGUUACAGAAGUAGCCCAGGCCAACUUUUCUAGCAUGGAAUGUGGACUCCCUACUCAGUUAUCAUUUUCAGCUCGUGAAGUAUCAGAUGGGACAUUUUUCAAAGCAAUAGAGGACUAUGAUUCUGAUAACAAGAGACUCUUAUACCAACUACAGAAGUCAUAUCAUGGUGAUCCUAUUCUGAAUCCACUUACACCUUGGGAGAGACCACCUAUUAAAAAUGUUUUUUGCAUCUAUGGAGUUGAUUUGAAGACUGAGGUUGGUUACUAUUUUGCGCCAAGUGGCAAGCCUUACCCUGAUAAUUGGAUCAUAACAGAUAUCAUUUACGAGCUUGAAGGAUCUUUGGUCUCAAGGUCAGGGAAUCUGGUUGAGGGGAAUCCUGGAGCCGCAAGUGGGGAUGAAACAGUACCUUAUAAUUCUCUCUCUUUGUGCAAGAACUGGCUUGGACCAAAAGUUAACAUAACAAGAGCUCCUCAGUCAGAGCAUGACGGGUCUGACGUACAGGUGGAACUGAAUGUUGAACAUCAGCAUGAAGCAGAUGUAGUUCCCAACAUGACAAGGUCUCCAAGGGUAAAAUACAUUACCUAUUAUGAAGAUUCUGAAAGCAUUCCAGGAAAGAGGACAGCAGUUUGGGAGCUUGAUAAAGCAAAUCACAGGAACAUUGUUAGAUCCCCUGUUCUAAUGCGAGAGUUGUGGCUUCAGAUGUGGCAUGAUAUCCAUCCUGACAAAAAAUCAGAAUUUGUUACAAAAGCUAAGCGUGGACCUUUGAGGGAUGAUGACUGCUAUUGGGACUAUGGGAAGGCUCGGUGUGCAUGGCCUGAAUACUGUGAAUAUAGGUAUCUUUUCGGAGAUGUUCAUCUAGGACAGAGUUGUAGGUUGAAGAAUUCUUCAGCUGACACGCUGUUGCAUUACGUUUAGAUUAGAAGUUGCUGGCAUUGGGCAUUAUUCCAUUCAUUACAAGUUCUAGCCCUGCAAUUGCUCUCUCUUGGAAGCUGGAAUCAAGCUGUUUGAUCAUUUCUUAAUGCAUCACGCAUAAUGAGACACAGAAUGGCUGGUGGUCUUUGUCCCUGUUGAAAUUCUAACUUGGCAUCUCGGCUUCCUCCUUUUUGCUACUUGCAACACAUCUGCUUUCAUCAGCCAAAUGCUUGCCUUCUGCACUAACUUCUGAAACUCUGGCAUAGCUUAUCUUUUCUGGUAGCUACUUUUGAGCUUGAACCAUUACAGCACCAAAAGUAGAUUCUUGACUUCAUGUAUUUGCACUGGCAUGGCUCAGUUGAGCAGAUGCAACUAAGGAGCGUAUUUUCAAGUAGAAUACGAGUGGUCCUGGCCAGAGAGUCUUAACAUCGAGCAAGGAUGGGACACUAAUACUGUUGGUGCAGCAUACAGUUGACGAAGUGGUAAAUCGAAGAAUAUACAGAUGGAUAGCAUGGCCUUUAUUAUAAUUUGAAGUUUAUUUACUGAAUCGUUAAAUCCAUUUUUUGUCCAAUUGCCCUCAAAAUGCCUAGCAAAAAGGAUAAUAAACAUACAACAAGAUUUGUUCUGUAACAAUUCAAAUGUUACGCGCCUAUUUUUGAAUUGAAACCUUGUAUUGAAAGUUUUCAUUUCUUGUAUUUUUUCUAUACAGUAAUCAUUCUUUUCAAUUAUACACCUGAAACUUUGCAGAGAUAGAUAAUCUUGGUUGGUC